AGCGAACGCUGGCGGCAGGCCUAACACAUGCAAGUCGAACGGAUCCUUCGGGAUUAGUGGCGGACGGGUGAGUAGCACGUGGGAACGUGCCCUUUGGUUCGGAACAACUCAGGGAAACUUGAGCUAAUACCGGAUGUGCCCUUCGGGGGAAAGAUUUAUCGCCAUUGGAGCGGCCCGCGUCUGAUUAGCUAGUUGGUGAGGUAACGGCCCACCAAGGCGACGAUCAGUAGCUGGUCUGAGAGGAUGAUCAGCCACACUGGGACUGAGACACGGCCCAGACUCCUACGGGAGGCAGCAGUGGGGAAUCUUGCGCAAUGGGCGAAAGCCUGACGCAGCCAUGCCGCGUGAAUGAUGGAGGUCUUAGGAUUGUAAAAUUCUUUCAGCGGGGACGAUAAUGACGGUACCCGCAGAAGAAGCUCCGGCUAACUUCGUG
rnacentral:rRNA from 1 species